rnacentral:tRNA from 1 species
GGGCCGCUAGCUCAAUUGGUAGAGCAGCGGGCUCUUAACCCGUGUGUUCGGGGUUCGAGUCCCCGGCGGCCCACCC